GAUGAACGCUGGCGGCGUGCCUAAUACAUGCAAGUCGAGCGAACAGACGAGGAGCUUGCUCCUUCGACGUUAGCGGCGGACGGGUGAGUAACACGUAGGUAACCUACCUAUAAGACUGGGAUAACUUCGGGAAACCGGAGCUAAUACCGGAUAAUAUUUCGAACCGCAUGGUUCGAUAGUGAAAGAUGGCUUUGCUAUCACUUAUAGAUGGACCUGCGCCGUAUUAGCUAGUUGGUAAGGUAACGGCUUACCAAGGCAACGAUACGUAGCCGACCUGAGAGGGUGAUCGGCCACACUGGAACUGAGACACGGUCCAGACUCCUACGGGAGGCAGCAGUAGGGACUCUUCCGCAAUGGGCGAAAGCCUGACGGAGCAACGUCGCGUGAGUGAUGAAGGUCUUCGGAUCGUAAAACUCUGUUAUUAGGGAAGAACAAACGUGUAAGUAACUGUGCACGUCUUGACGGUACCUAAUCAGAAAGCCACGGCUAACUACGUG
rnacentral:rRNA from 1 species